GGAAUGUCUCAUUGUCUUCGGCUUCUUUACAGUGCUGCCUUGUUGCAUAUGGAUCAAGCAGCAUUGUACAGGGCUAUGAAGGCAUUAAGUCUUGC
ensembl:miRNA